GACGAACGCUGGCGGCGUGCUUAACACAUGCAAGUCGAACGGAAAGGCCCUGCUUUUGUGGGGUGCUCGAGUGGCGAACGGGUGAGUAACACGGGAGUAACCUGCCCUUGACUUUGGGAAAACUUCAGGAAACUGGGGCUUAUACCGGAUAGGAGCUCCUGCUGCAUGGUGGGGGUUGGAAAGUUUCGGCGGUUGGGGAUGGACUCGCGGCUUAUCAGCUUGUUGGUGGGGUAGUGGCUUACCAAGGCUUUGACGGGUAGCCGGCCUGAGAGGGUGACCGGCCACAUUGGGACUGAGAUACGGCCCAGACUCCUACGGGAGGCAGCAGUGGGGAAUAUUGCACAAUGGGCGGAAGCCUGAUGCAGCAACGCCGCGUGCGGGAUGACGGCCUUCGGGUUGUAAACCGCUUUCGCCUGUGACGAAGCGUGAGUGACGGUAAUGGGUAAAGAAGCACCGGCUAACUACGUG
rnacentral:rRNA from 1 species